AGCCCUUCCCAUGGGUCACACAAUCAAGAACACAUAAGAGCUCUGCCAGGAUCAAGACUGCUUUAUACAAUAUUAUUUUACCAAGGAUAAGAUGUGAGUUGAAGUAAUGACUCAACUGUACCAGCAAGGCAAACGAGAGAUUCUCCAAUGACCAUUGGAGCUGGCCAGUCGAUAAUGAACUCAAUGAGAUCUCCAGGUCCCACAGGUCAAAAUCAGGUCUCGAAUUUGUAGUUCAAAUAGCCACAUUGUGUUAAAAAGUGCUAAAAUUAUUAUUUUAGUGAUUUACGAGGAAGAGAUGCUCUUAGAUAGUAACCUUACGAAAAUACCUCUUGGGAGUUGGAUAUUACGAUAGAUUGGAUAUUGUUCUCUACUCAUCACUCCUCCCUGUUAAAGAGUUAUACUUUGGGAAGUUUCUAUUGAGAUAUCCUCCAGCUCAGAGAUUCUUUCCUCAGCUGUGUCCGGUCUGCUAAUAAACCCAUCAAAGGGUCUAAGUCUUCAGGCUAUAUUCACAAAGUCCUAAAGAAAUUUUGAAGUAAAAGAAGGUUUUGGAUAUCUAGAUAUCUCUAGGAAACAGCCUGGCCACCCACCUCAACAAAUGCUUGAGGCCCACAUGUAGCCUGCAGACAGCACCUCCCCCCACGGAGCGCAGGAGCAGGAGGCCUGUGUCCUGUUAUUUGCCACCGGCAUUGCCCGCCACAUGUGGGCACCGACGCAGAUACUCAAGCUUGUUCUCUUGCUCCUGCAACAUCAGAGCUGUCCACCAUCUCAGGCAGCUAUUUCUGAAGAACAAGAAAAAAGGAUUGACUUUCUUUAGGUUCUGAUUGAAUACUGUGAGGCUAACGUGCCCCAACUUAUUUAAGAGAUGGAUCUGAUUGAACCAACCAAACAGCACCUGACUGCAACACCCUGCUACUGUGACACUGACGUCUCCUUCUAAUCUCCAGUGUUCUCAUCCUCAAAAUAGCCUGGGGUUUUUUCCCCUUUAUUCAAUAACCAUUCUCUCUCUAUUCUCAGAUAGGUCCAUUUCUUAACUGUUCUGGAACUUUUCUUCUUUGAGGAAGCUUAGUCCUGAGCUAACUACUGCCAGUC